UACAGAGGGUGCAAGCGUUAAUCGGAAUUACUGGGCGUAAAGCGUGCGUAGACGGUCAUGUAAGUCGGGUGUGAAAGCCCCGGGCUCAACCUGGGAACUGCAUUGGUGACUGGCAGGCUUUGAGUGUGGCAGAGGGAGGUAGAAUUCCACGUGUAGCAGUGAAAUGCGUAGAGAUGUGGAGGAAUACCGAUGGCGAAGGCAGCCUCCUGGGCCAACACUGACGCUCAUGCACGAAAGCGUGGGGAGCAAACAGG
rnacentral:rRNA from 1 species